UACAGAGGUCCCAAGCGUUGUUCGGAUUCAUUGAGCGUAAAGGGUGCGUAGGCGGCGCGGUAAGUCGGGUGUGAAAUCUCGGAGCUUAACUCCGAAACUGCAUUCGAUACUGCCGUGCUUGAGGACUGGAGAGGAGACUGGAAUUUACGGUGUAGCGGUGAAAUGCGUAGAUAUCGUAAGGAAGACCAGUGGCGAAGGCGGGUCUCUGGACAGUUCCUGACGCUGAGGCACGAAGGUCAGGGGAGCAAACGGG
rnacentral:rRNA from 1 species